AUUUACAACAAAUGUUCAGAAGUAACUUUUUCGCAAAAGACAAUCAUUGAUUCAAAAUGGGGUUAAAAUUCAAGAAAUUCCUGACUUAGUUACAGAUGCUUCGCGUCAUUUUUUUGACAUAAUUAUUAAGGCAGCAUAUACUAAAAAUAAAUGGCACUAACAAUCAGUGGCUAUAGAAAAACUACUCAACUUGAUGAAUGGUCAUUUUCUUCAACCCGGACCCGAUGAAAUCCGAAUUUCUCCAAUUCACAACAUUUUUUUUCCACGAUCUAUAUGGACCUACAUAGAAAAACCUACUCAAUAAAAAAAUCUAAACUUGUGUUCUUGGACGCAGCUAGUAAAAGAAGCAUGAACAGAAGUACAUGGAGACAGCUUACAAUAAUACUAUGCUACAGGUGUUCGAACAUCUCAACCACCCUUAGAUCCACAACUAUCCAGAGCAAUCAAUGAUUGGGCAAAAUCAAGAUCAGAGGAUAAAUUUGAUUUCAGCCAUUAUUCAACUCACCGUGGUAGAAUAAGUUGGAAUAAAAGAAGAAAAAAAAUCCCAUCAAUAUCAUCGAAGAUUCAAAAAACGACUUCAUCAGCCACAACAUCCGCUUCGUUAACUAAAAUAUCAAAUACUACAGAAGAUAGUUCAUGCACUGCAACAGUAACUCCUACUGCUAUAUCACCAUCAACGAACGAACCUUCAGUUACGCCAUACUUUCUUUUACCAACAAUUACUACACCUCUUCCAGUACAUAUUAACUUUGCAUGUAAAACGAAUAUAUCUUCAGUUUGUAGGAGCCUUCUUUCAAAAAAAAAAAAGACAACUCCAGUUACAAA